AUAGUAAUACAACAAACGAGAUACGUAUAGAAAUAGAUGAGAAAU
rnacentral:guide_RNA from 1 species